rnacentral:rRNA from 1 species
CCUGAUCCAGCCAUGCCGCGUGUGUGAAGAAGGCCUUAUGGUUGUAAAGCACUUUAAGCGAGGAGGAGGCUACUUUAGUUAAUACCUAGAGAUAGUGGACGUUACUCGCAGAAUAAGCACCGGCUAACUCUGUGCCAGCAGCCGCGGUAAUACAGAGGGUGCAAGCGUUAAUCGGAUUUACUGGGCGUAAAGCGCGCGUAGGCGGCUAAUUAAGUCAAAUGUGAAAUCCCCGAGCUUAACUUGGGAAUUGCAUUCGAUACUGGUUAGCUAGAGUGUGGGAGAGGAUGGUAGAAUUCCAGGUGUAGCGGUGAAAUGCGUAGAGAUCUGGAGGAAUACCGAUGGCGAAGGCAGCCAUCUGGCCUAACACUGACGCUGAGGUGCGAAAGCAUGGGGAGCAAACAGGAUUAGAUACCCUGGUAGUCCAUGCCGUAAACGAUGUCUACUAGCCGUUGGGGCCUUUGAGGCUUUAGUGGCGCAGCUAACGCGAUAAGUAGACCGCCUGGGGAGUACGGUCGCAAGACUAAAACUCAAAUGAAUUGACGGGGGCCCGCACAAGCGGUGGAGCAUGUGGUUUAAUUCGAUGCAACGCGAAGAACCUUACCUGGCCUUGACAUAGUAAGAACUUUCCAGAGAUGGAUUGGUGCCUUCGGGAACUUACAUACAGGUGCUGCAUGGCUGUCGUCAGCUCGUGUCGUGAGAUGUUGGGUUAAGUCCCGCAACGAGCGCAACCCUUUUCCUUAUUUGCCAGCGAGUAAUGUCGGGAAC